CCAAGGUCGAAAUUUUGAAAGUGCUCUAAUUCAGCAGUUGUGUGAACUCUAUGGAAUCCAGAAGACCCGCACUUCUCCUUAUCAUCCUCAAGGAAAUGGACAGUGCGAACGAUUUAAUAGGACGUUGCAUGGCCUUCUGAGAACUCUUCAGCCAGAUCAGAAGCAUGAUUGGCCCCUUUAUCUCCCCCAGAUGAUUUUUUCAUAUAAUACCACUAUUCAUCAAUCUACAGGCGAGUCCCCUUAUUUUUUAAUGUUUGGUCAAGAACCUCAUUUACCUGUUGACUUUCUUUUGGGUAGAGUUAAGGAGCCAGUAACAGGAUCUGUGAGUGAGUGGGUGCAAGAGCAUCGCCAACGUCUGCAAAUAGCUUUUGAUACAGCUAAGGAACGGCUGAAAGCUGCUGCAGUCCUUCGGAAGGAGCGUCAUGACCAGCAGGUGACUUCUGUGGGUUUCAGGGAAGGUGAGCUGGUCUAUCUUCGAGCUAAUGAUAUUCGAGGAAGAGCAAAAAUCCAAGAUGUUUGGGGGGCCUACAGUUUAUAGAAUAAUUAAAGCCCCCAAGGACGGUGGGGCUGUCUAUUCCAUCUUGCCCCUUCAUGGAAGUGGUAAUGUCAAACAUGUGCAUUGUGUCCAUCUUCGAGCUGCACCUGUCAACUUGCCACCCGCAUCCCCGGGUCCAUCAACAGAUACUGGUUAAUCAGUAGGUGAUGAAGAGCUGGAGGGAGAUUGGUGGAUUGCUCCUCAGUCUGUAGAAGAGGCCCCAAUUUUGGAUCUUGUUGAACGUACCUUGAGUCAAGAAGUGGGUGUCCCAGUCGUUGAUGAAGAUGUAAAUCACACGGACGAAAGUUGGGAUUCUGUUCCUAGUACUAGUGGAUUUCAGCCCAGACGGAGUACCAGAGAGACUGCAGGAAGACAUUCCAAUCCUCAUCAUUUGCCAGUAGCUAUAAGUAGAGUUGAUAGGGCUGCAGCCUCUCAAGUCCCUGGGUCUAGUAAUAUGACAUUGGCUGUUUUUAGGCCAUGGAUUUAGUUUUUCUCUUAUCGUCGGGGCGCCGAUAACAAAAGGGGGGUAGAUUGUAGUGAGGUCCUUUAUGGGGCCUUUUAUCUUAAAAUGUACCUUUUUUUUAAAAGCAUAAAAAAGCGUAGCCCCUUUAAGAGGUAGGCCCCAGUGAGUGCAUUGCCCCUUUAAGAGGAAGUGUCCCGAUUAGCGUGAGCGAAUGAACAAACGCUUCGGAUUCCGUACUCUUAUAAAGUGUCUGAGCAGCUGUGAGGAAUGGUUGCUGCUUGAUUGUCUGUUUGUUUCAUCGUCAGAUUUCUUCUCUAAUAAGGUGAGCAAUCGAUGUUUUCUUUUGUGUUCAGGUGGAAAGAAGUAUUGUUUUAUGGGGUUUUUUCUCUUCCAUAGGCUGCGUUUAUCCUUCAUGUGCAAGUGUUGUGCAUUUAAUAAGAGGGUGAUCAGAUUUGCUCUUUGGCGGCUGGACUGUGGAUGUGCUGUUUGUUUGCCAUUUGAGUGUGGUAUUGUUGUGCAGGCCUGGUUAAACGGAGGGGAACUGCAUUUGGUCACUGCUGUCCUUCUUUACCCUUUAUUUUUGGGUUUUGUGAUUUAAUGUUUGUUUGGUUUUCUUUAUUUAACACUAAACCUGCGCAAAUUUGUGUAAAUUCCCUGGCCCUCACACCUAGUAGCACCCCUGCUGAGAUUUUCACAGGCCUGCAGCUCCAUUGUUCUCCUGCUUUUGUUGUGCAAACACACCCAUUACCUGUGAGGCCUGGCACAUUUGCAUUUCUUUACUCAGAGUAGCUCAGAGGCCAGAA